AACCGUUUCAAUGAACAAUACUCCAGCACGCAGUUUCAUUCCGAACACGUUUCACUCACAUACAACACAUGUCAAACAUCUCACGAGCCACAGACAUGAAGUUAGACAUAAGUUAGAAUACCCGAAUUUUCGAAGGUCUGGAAAUUUUACAUUUGGUUCUGAUGAAGAAUUCUAAUUCGCUGGACCAUUACCCGUUUCCAAU
rnacentral:lncRNA from 1 species